rnacentral:rRNA from 1 species
GUGGGGAAUUUUGCGCAAUGGGCGAAAGCCUGACGCAGCAACGCCGCGUGAGUGAUGAAGGUCUUCGGAUCGUAAAGCUCUUUCGGCUGGGACGAAAACCGGUUGGUGAAUAGCCAACCGCUUGACGGUACCGGAAGAAGAAGCACCGGCUAACUCUGUGCCAGCAGCCGCGGUAAUACAGAGGGUGCAAGCGUUGUUCGGAAUUAUUGGGCGUAAAGCGCGUGUAGGCGGCGGAGCAUGUCGGGUGUGAAAGCCCUCGGCUUAACCGAGGAAGUGCGCCCGAAACUGCUUUGCUGGAGUGCUGGAGAGGGUAGCGGAAUUCCCGGUGUAGAGGUGAAAUUCGUAGAUAUCGGGAGGAACACCAGUGGCGAAGGCGGCUACCUGGACAGACACUGACGCUGAGACGCGAAAGCGUGGGGAGCAAACAGGAUUAGAUACCCGAGUAGUCC